CUAUGCCCCCAUGUCUAAUAGCAUGGCUUUUUCA
rnacentral:tRNA from 1 species